AAAAUUCCAUGUGUAAUUAGUUAUUGCAAAAUGUUGCUCAGGAAAAAAAAUAUUUAUAGUUAGCUCUUGCUUUUGGUUUUUUGACAUGUCAGUUUGUAGUGUGUAUCACCUAAAAAUUUAUCCUUUUAUAUCAUUUUAAUUGAGUUUGGAACUUCUGUAGAGAGAUAUAAUUUCAUCUCUCAUCUCUUGGUAAAAUUUGUUGAGGGUCGACAAACAUUCUAUGCCUCCUCACAGUGGCGAUACUCCCAGUCAUUUCACUCCCUCCUUGAUCCUGCCCCCACUCCUGGCACCAAAUAAAGAUAGCCGCUACCGGAUGCUAUCUCCAGCCUUGUAAUCAGGGAGCCACCGCCUAGAGCUGUCUCCCGGGCACCCGAAAAUGUCUUCACUCUAGAGUCAUCAUCAUUAAUUCAUCUCAGAACCCCCCUAGUAAUCAUGAGCUAAGCUUCCUUUUAACAGUCUUGACGACCGGACCCUCCUCAUCACUAUCUUGCCUCUAACCCAUUCAGCCCCGACUACAUCACCCCAUCACCAUGAUGAACACCAUUGAAGCUUUGGAUCGCACUCUGAUCCAUGGUGAGAUAUCUACACGGACAUUACCCUUAGAUUCUAGAUAUUUCUUUCCUUUGCAAUUUCUUGAUGUUUUCUGCUAUUUGUCCAUCCAAUGUAUGAGACCAC
rnacentral:lncRNA from 1 species